GAAUUCGUGGUGUAAUGGUCAGCACGGUGGAUGUGUAUUCCACAGGUCCGUGGUUCGAGUCUCGGCGAAGGCG
rnacentral:tRNA from 1 species